rnacentral:tRNA from 1 species
AUUAUUUUGGCAGAAUAGUGCGAUAAAUUUAGAAUUUAUAUAAGUAAAUAAUAUUUAUAAAUAAUA